rnacentral:rRNA from 1 species
CCUACGGGUGGCAGCAGUGAGGAAUAUUGGUCAAUGGACGAGAGUCUGAACCAGCCAAGUAGCGUGAAGGAUGACUGCCCUAUGGGUUGUAAACUUCUUUUAUAUGGGAAUAAAAUGUUCCACGUGUGAGAUUUUGUAUGUACCAUAUGAAUAAGGAUCGGCUAACUCCGUGCCAGCAGCCGCGGUAAUACGGAGGAUCCGAGCGUUAUCCGGAUUUAUUGGGUUUAAAGGGAGCGUAGGUGGAUUGUUAAGUCAGUUGUGAAAGUUUGCGGCUCAACCGUAAAAUUGCAGUUGAAACUGGCAGUCUUGAGUACAGUAGAGGUGGGCGGAAUUCGUGGUGUAGCGGUGAAAUGCUUAGAUAUCACGAAGAACACCGAUUGCGAAGGCAGUUCACUGGACUGCAACUGACACUGAGGCUCGAAAGUGUGGGUAUCAAACAGGAUUAGAUACCCCAGUAGUC